ACGAACGCUGGCGGCGUGCUUAACACAUGCAAGUCGAACGAUGAAGCCUUUCGGGGUGGAUUAGUGGCGAACGGGUGAGUAACACGUGGGCAAUCUGCCCUUCACUCUGGGACAAGCCCUGGAAACGGGGUCUAAUACCGGAUAACACUCUGUCCUGCAUGGGACGGGGUUAAAAGCUCCGGCGGUGAAGGAUGAGCCCGCGGCCUAUCAGCUUGUUGGUGGGGUGAUGGCCUACCAAGGCGACGACGGGUAGCCG
rnacentral:rRNA from 2 species